rnacentral:tRNA from 2 species
GAACUUGUGGCGGAAUGGAUAGCGCGUUUGACUUCUAAUCAGAGGGUUGUGGGUUCGAGUCCCAUCAAGGUCG